rnacentral:rRNA from 1 species
CCAGGCGGAAAACUUUGCCAAUACACGAAAGUGUGCCAGGGAAUUCCAAAGUGUAGUUCGUAAAAGAAAGCUUUUUUCCAGUCUAAAAAACAGGGAGAAUAAGGAGAGGGUAAGUCGGGUGUCAGCCGCCGCGGUAAUACCAGCUCUCCAAGUGGUGGGGAUUAUUAUUGGGCCUAAAGCAUCCGUAGCCGGUUAUGUUAGUCCCUGGUUAAAUCCUCCGGCUUAAUCGUUGGAAUUCGGGGGAUACUGAUGGGCUAGGGGACGGGAGAGGCAGGCGGUAUUCCCGGGGUAGGGGUGAAAUCCUAUAAUCCCGGGAGGACCACCAGUGGCGAAGGCGGUUUGCUAGAACGCGUCCGACGGUGAGGGAUGAAAGCUGGGGGAGCGAACCGGAUUAGAUACCCGGGUAGUCCCAGCUGUAAACGAUGCAGGCUAGGUGUUGGACGGCCACGAGCCGUUCCAGUGCCGCAGAGAAGCCGUAAGCCUGCCGCC